AUUGAACGCUGGCGGCAGGCCUAACACAUGCAAGUCGAACGAGUCGCGGACGGGAGUGUAAUGUCUGGGAAACUGCCUGAUGGAGGGGGAUAACUACUGGAAACCGUAUCUAAUACCGUAUUCUCUCAUAAGUGCCUAUAUGGGUUGAGCUUGGUGGUGGGGUAACGGCUCACCAAGGCGACGAUCCCUAGCUGGUCUGAGAGGAUGACCAGCCACACUGGAACUGAGACACGGCCCAGACUCCUACGGGAGGCAGCAGUGGGGAAUAUUGCACAAUGGGCGCAAGCCUGAUGCAGCCAUGCCGCGUGUAUGAAGAAGGCCUUAGGGUUGUAAAGUACUUUCAGCGGGGAGGCGUUACCCGCAGAAGAAGCACCGGCUAACUCCGUGCCAGCAGCCGCGGUAAUAC
rnacentral:rRNA from 1 species